UUACUCUGUAUAAUGUUCUCCCGAUUCUACUCACUUCAGUCUAUAUCAGUUCAUGUAUUUCAAGGUCUUUCUGAAAUCAACUUACUCAUGGUUUCAUAUACCACUAUAGUAGUAGUCUCUUGGUAAUCGAGGAUGACGAUUGUCUUUGUGCACUUUCAUCUGUGAUGUAGAUGAGUAUACACAAAGACUCUUGUGUGUGAAGGAGAUUUAAGUGGAAAAGUCGAUGCACAGAGACAGUCCCACUCUCUCGGCUUUGGAAGCCUGGGUCCAGUGGCACAAAAAGUCGUUACACCUGGAGACUUCCUCAGCUGCAUUGGAUGGCCGCGUUGUCUUUUGUGCUCCAACACGCCCUAAGCACUCCACAGUGCUUUGCUGCAUCGCCAUCUCAGCCAUUGAACCUUCUUAUUGGUUUCUUCCGUCUGUUCGGCCUAAACAGUCUUCACAUGCUGGGAAAGGGGAAAAAAAGAACCAUUACACAGGGCCAAGAAGCAGAAGAUCAAGGAGACCAACCAAUCCCAAUGGGGUUGAUGAAAAUCUGCACAGUGCCAAGGAGCACAAGCUAAAAAAGGACUAAACCAAUCCAGGAAGAGGGAUGUCUCAAGGAUGCCAAAAGGCCCUUUUCUUCCCCACCACCUGGUUGGAUCACUGUAGUUCAAAAAUGGCACCUAGAGCUUCCUGAUUUCAU
rnacentral:lncRNA from 1 species